rnacentral:rRNA from 1 species
GUGCCAGCCGCCGCGGUAAGACGUAGGGAGCAAGCGUUGUCCGGAAUUACUGGGCGUAAAGAGCUCGUAGGCGGGAGCGUAAGUCUGAAAGGAAAUCUCAAGGCUCAACUUUGGGGCUUUUUCGGAUACUGCGUUUCUUGAGGUUAUCAGAGGAAAGUAGAAUUCCCGGUGUAGCGGUGAAAUGCGUAGAUAUCGGGAGGAAUACCAGUGGCGAAGGCGACUUUCUGGGAUACACCUGACGCUGAGGAGCGAAAGCGUGGGGAGCAAACGGGAUUAGAUACCCCGGUAGUCCACGCUGUAAACGAUGGAUGCUAGGUGUAGGAGGUAUCGACCCCUUCUGUGCCGGCGUUAACACAUUAAGCAUCCCGCCUGGGGAGUACGGUCGCAAGGCUGAAACUCAAAUAAAUUGACGG